rnacentral:misc_RNA from 1 species
GGCGGUAAUGGGGAAGAUUCAGGCGCAGGCAGCCAUGGACCAUGCUUGGGACGGUUUUUGGGGUCGGAGUUAGACAUUUUUACAGUGUUCAAUUCCAGAGCCUCUGCUGAAAGUGCAUAACAGGGGUAAUGCAGAGCAGAUCUGAGGUGAGCAGCUAGGGUUUUGAGAGCUCCUUAGGGUUUUAGAAGAGAUAAAAGAGCAGUCUUUAGAGUGCGGAGCCCGUUUACCAUAGAAGUAUAAUAAAAGACUUGAGUGUUAU